AAAAACUUUCCUCUCCUCUCUCUCAGCCAUCAAGUCCGGCCAGGGUCCGACCAGGGUCCGAUCAUCGGCCGGUCACCGGCCACCGCGCCGACCGCCGAUCUCCGGCGCCGUCACUGCCGUAUGCGGUGGCCGAAAAAGGGAAAAAAACUCCUAGUUGUCCCUUCGAAACCAAUAAACCUAGAACUGGGCUCGAAAUUCCCGAAAUCGACGAAGAAGCCCUAAAAAAACCUAGAGACCUUUCGAUUUCUAACCGUCUAUUCUCGGAGACGGACCUCGGCCUUCCAACGGCGCGGCCGACUCUGAUGAAGGUAUGUUUCUCACCUUUAUUUUAUUUUGUAAAAAUAAAAACAAAAUAGAAUAUAUAUCAACCUUAGAUUUCGUUUGAUUCUCUGCUAGUGCUAUAAAAAUUCCUCCUUUUUUAUUAAUCUUUUUUCCUUUUCAUUACAGUGUUUUUGUGGCUUUUUUAUAGCCAAACGCAAACAUAAUAGUAGAAACAAAUCUAAAGAAGAAACAAAUCUGUUUCUUUAUUUGAUUUUCGAAUAUUGAUUGUGUUUCCUUUUUUGUUUCUUUUUGACGCGCAGGUAUGAAGAUUCGGGGCUAUGGUGCUGCGGCGCAAAGGUCUCCUCAGAAACCCUAAGGUUUCUGCAACCGAUUUGGGCCACUGAGCUUUGGCCUUUUUGUUUCAUUUUGAUUUGGGCCCUUGCAGGCCUAUUUGUAACUUGGGCCUUUUUUACCCGGGCCAAAAUCGGGUAUUACAGAGACUAAAUUUCAAAUGUAUAAAGUGAAUAAAGACUUAAAUCGUAUUUUAACUUUUAAAA
rnacentral:lncRNA from 1 species